rnacentral:rRNA from 1 species
AUUGAACGCUGGCGGCAGGCCUAACACAUGCAAGUCGCGCGGUAGAGAGAAGCUUGCUUCUCUUGAGAGCGGCGGACGGGUGAGUAAUGCCUAGGACUCUGCCUGGUAGUGGGGGAUAACGUUCGAAAACGGACGCUAAUACCGCAUACGUCCUACGGGAGCAAGCAGGGGACCUUCGGCCCUUGCGCACACAGAUGAGCCUAGGCCGGAUUAACUAGUUGGUGGGGUAAUGGCUCACCAAGGUGACGAUCCGGAACUGGUCUGAGAGGAUGAUCCGUCACACUGGAACUGAGACACGGUCCAGACUCCUACGGGAGGCAGCAGUGGGGAAUAUUGGACAAUGGGGGAAAGCCUGAUCCAGCCAUGCCGCGUGUGUGAAGAAGGUCUUCGGAUUGUAAAGCACUUUAAGUUGGGAGGAAGUGCAGUAAAUUAAUACUUUGCUGUUUUGACGUUACCGACAGAAUAAGCACCGGCUAACUCUGUGCCAGCCGCCGCAGUAA